rnacentral:lncRNA from 10 species
UUUUAAUAUACUCUCAAAUUGUUCUCUAAAAAGCAAUAUUGUUUUAUACUUCCAUCAGUAGCACUUAUGUUCCCAUAACCUCACAACUAACAAGGGCAUUAUACCUUUUUGUUGCCAAUUCAAUGGGAAACAUAUUAUUUUAUUAUUGUUUAAAUUUGUAUUUCACUGAUUACAAUUGAGAUUGGGCAUUCUUUCAUGCAACAGUAUAUUUUGCCUGUUUUACAAUGAGGUUUUUUCUUAUUAAUUUGUACAUAUUCUUUUGUGUUGAAUGUAGUAUGUGUAGGUUAUAAGUAUUUUCUCACAAUAUCUUACUCUAUUUUCCCAAUAAUAUGAAAAACAAAUGUACCAAUUCCAAACCUGCUACACCCACCAAUUUUUAUAUUCUCAAAAAAAAUGGUUAAAAUACAUAUAACUCAAAGCAUAAUGUCCAAUUUUCUUAUCUUCCAUUAUAUGUGUGUGUGUGUAUUUAUCUCCAAACCAUACACAAGUAUUAUGAUCAAUGGACAGAUAUGGUCUGCCAUUGAAUAUGUUGUGAGUCAUUUUAUUUCUAUAUAAUAUUUCUUCAGUUUUUUCCAAAAUAAAUAUUUUAAUUACAAUUUUGAGUACAACAAACAAAUAUGGAUGCCUGUGAAUCACUCUAGCUCCUAUGCAUAAAAUCUCAUUUAUUUAGAGAAAGCAAAGCUUAAUCAAAUUGUUUUGUAUUUUUCCCACUUUGACUAUAUUUCCUAAUUUUGUCAGGGUUGAGUUAACCUUUACCUAGAGGUCACAAUGGAUUGCAUGUAUGUCAUCCUAGCAUGGAACUGACACCCGCAGUGUUAGUCAUCUCAUUUUUUCAAUAAUUCAUGAAGAAAUGGAGAUAACAAGCUUUCUCCACUGGAAAAAAUGUUUAACGAUUUCCAGAGGGA